AGGGUAAUGUGUGUGGGGUGUGUGUGUGUGUGUGUGUGUGUGUGUGUGUGUGAAAGAGUGAGAGAGAGACAGAGAUUUGCUAAUACAGAUUAAACGUAGUCAUAAAUCUUAAAAGAUUUAUUCUCCACACUUUAUUUUAUUUUAUUUUUGAGGCAGGGUCUAACUCUGUUGCCCAGGCUGGAGUGAAGUGGUGUGAUCAUGGCUCAUUGCAACCUCGACCACCCCAGGCUCAGGUGAUCCUCCUUAGUAGCUGGGACUACAGAUGGGCACCAUCAAGCCCAGCUAAUUAUUUUUAUUUGUUAUUGUAGAGACAGGUUUUUGCCAUGUUGCCUAGGCUGGUCUUAAACUCCUAGGCUCAAGCAAUCCUCCUGCCUUGGCCUCCCAAAGUGUUAGGAUUACAGGUGUGAGCCAUCUCAUCUAGCCCUCCACAUUUUAUUAUAAAAUUUUUCAUACAGACAACAAAGAUGAAUGAAUUAUAUAGUGAACACUUAUAUACAAUGGAGUGUCUGCUAUUAAUAUUUUACUAUAGCUAUUUUUAUCUAUCUAGCUAUUAUCUAUCAAUCAUCUAUUUAUCUGUCUAAUUUAUCUAUUCAUCUAUCCAUCUAUGAGUCUAUAUUUUUGAUGCAUUUCAAAAUAAAUUGCAGACAUAAAUACACUUAACCCUAAAUACUUCAUAAUAUGCAUAUAUAACUAAAGUUUAACACGUUUACAGUUUUUUUUUUCUUUUGAUGUAAGAUGUACAUGCAAUGAAAUGCACAGGUCUUGAGUACAGAUUUACAGAGUUUUGAUAAAUACUGUGUAACCCAAAUUUCUCUCAAGUUAUAAAAUAUAACUAUCACCCCAGAAGGUUCCCUCACACCCUUUCCCAGUCAAUUUCUGCCUCUCCCCAGCCCCACCCCUCCAGAGACAACCAGUGUUCUGACUUUUCCACCAAUGACUCUUUUGUGUGAGGCUUCUUCCACUUUGCAUAACAUUUUGACAUUUAUCCAUAUUGCUGUGGGUAAUGUUGUUUGUUCCUUUUACUUGCUGAUUGAUAUUUCAUUGUAUGAAUAUUCUAUAGUUUGUUUAUUCAUUUUUUUGUUGAUGGACUUUUUCUAGUUUUUGGAUUCCAUGGAUAAAGCUGUUCUGAAUACUGUAUAAAUCUUUUUGUAAAGAUAUGUUUUUGUUGCUCUUGGGUAAAUGCCAAGAAGUAGAAUUGCUGGGACAAAGGGUAGAUAUAUGUUUAGUUGUAUAAGUAACUAUCAGAACUUGUCACAGUGGUUCCGCCUUUCCGGUCCCACCCACAACGUAUGGUGUUGCUCCAUACCCCUGUCGGUGUUUAGAGUUGUCUGUCCUUUUUAAUUUAGCCAUUCUGGUGGGUGUCUAGGUAGAAAAUUAAAGUUGAUGGCAAUGGCAAUAGUUAUGAUAGAGUGAUAGAUACCUCUCCAUAGCAAAUCACAGUCGCUAUUCCUUAGAUUUCACUUGGAAGCUCAUCAUUUUGGCUGUUGGGUCUGCUCUUAACUCUCUAAGUACCCACUCUAAUGUUUUCUGAUUGACAGAUGGAAGUGCUCCCAGGCAGUACUGAUUUUCAGGCUAAUGCUCCUACUACAAUCAGCUCACUUAGGGCUUCUUUGUGUAGUCUGGAUGCUCAGCUUUAACCCUUUGACAUUUCUUUGCUUUACUUCUUUGUCAAACUUCUUAAGCCAGAUUGUGAUUUCUCUUCUUUUUCAGAGUUUUCACCUGGCAAGAGGUUGAUGAUUUAAAUGUCAAAAGAGGCAGACUCCAGAUAAAAUGCUGAACAAACAAUUUUGAGGACUUAGACCUUUCUUUUCUGCCAUUACUACUUCUCAAGCUUCUUCUGAUUCCCAGAGAAUGGGAUGGAAAAAGUGAGAUGCUGCGGUUUCACUCUGGUAGGAUUCAGUCUCAAACUGCAGAGGUACUGGGAACCUGUGGAUUGGAUGAUUCUGCGUUGUGGCAGCAUUGUCAACUGAUGGACCCACCAGUUCCUGAAUCCUGCUGACUAAUGGAUCAUUGUCAACUUGCUGGAGCUUUGAGGAAGCCUGUGUGAGUAUUGUGGCUGUGCUUCUGUUCCAGUCUUCUUUAUUGAGGGAAAUAUUUGAGAAGAGUCCUUACUGCUUAAAACUAAAGCUUGGGAAUUGCUUGCUUGAGUUAGAUUUACCCAAAAAAGAAAAACGUAAAAAAAGAGACAAAAUGUAAGCAAGCUACACUGAUACACGUCUCGGACACAGCUUCCUCCACCCCAUGCCAGGCUAUGUGCUGCCAUUUGAACGGGUAUCAACUUUCUUGUUGUUUAAAAGGAAAGGGCCCUGGUGGGCUGAUUCUGUGACUCGGUGCACAUAUGGCAGACCCAGUGCUGUCAUAAAGAAUUCAGUGAUCCCAGAACUGAUUUAUUUUAUUUUGUUUUUAAAUCUGAAGACCAGGUUCUUUUGAGGUAUUAAGUUCUGGGCACCAGCGUUUGCAGAUAUAUCACUGCUCAGGGCAGAAAUGCCUUCCUGUGCAGGGAAACCUCCCAAGAAGAGUGAGCCUCCUCUCCUCCUGCUGGUGAGACCAGAGAAGUGUUUCUAACAUUGUUGAAAUGAAGCAAAGUUAUCCUUCUUUUGACCCUGCUGUAGCAUCUGGGGUCAUCUUUUUGUUUACUGUGUAUUUGUUUUUGACCUUCAGAAGGUCCUGGUGGCACAGCCCAACAAAGACUAGAGAAUAAAACAAACAG
rnacentral:lncRNA from 10 species